CCCGAGCCCGGCCGCUUUACAUAGCCCGGGGGGCGGAGCGGGCACCCGGGCGGGCUGGGGGCGGGCCGUCUCCUCUGCGCGCAGGCGCUGCGAACCAAAACCCGAAACUCUCGCCGCGCGCGGGAACCUCGGCCCGGUCCCGCCCCCUGCGCGCGCCUGCUCCCCACGCGCACCCACCCACUGCGCCUGCGAGCUGAGCGGCCACUAGCUUUUUCUGCGUGUUGAGGGGUAACUCAGUCACCCUCCCCGGUCCCGUGGAUUAGCAGGAAGAGCUGUGGAGACAGACCAGGAUGGCAAUGGCCAAAGGGACAGAUGAGUAACGGAGUGAAAUCCUAACAUCCUCUGAGGCCAGAUCCUCAGCUGCCACCUCCUCUGUGAAACCACUGAGAGCUCCGUUGGAUUUUUGAGUUUCCUGUCCAAGUGCUGUGCUAAGCACUCAGUCCUCGCAGCAACCCCUGAGGCAGGUAUCCCAUUGUUCAGAGGAGAAGCCAGCUUGGAGAGCCUGAUUUACCUGAUUAUGCCACCCAGAGGUGUCAGAGGCGGAGUCUGUCUGCCCUCCCGACUCCCAGGCCACUCCCCUAUCUUUGGCCUCACUCCCAGCAUUCGCUUGGUUCUGGCUUGCGGCAUUCUCCUACCUGUGACAGCUGGGGCCGCCCCACCACUGUUCCAUCCAUAAAGCCUCCCCGCUGUCCUGCGCACUGGAGGGACUCAGUCAGUCACCGGUGUGUGGGAAGCACCUCUCCUCCCAGGCCUUCCCCUCUCCUCCCUGUGACUUCUUGUUCCCUGUAGCGCCCGUAUCUUCACCCUCCUGAAACCCUUUCUUCUUGGCACCUUUCUCAUUUCUUCCACGAUGCUCUUCCAAGAAUGGGCAGGGGUGAAGAGGCAAAGUGACAGACUCAGGGUUUGCAAGAGUGAAAGACACCUAUUUAAUGGCAAAAUAGUGAUGGAAAGCAGCAGAAGUAAAACCCUCAUUUUUCCUAUAACAGACAAAUCGCUUGAAAAUCCAGUUUAAUAAAAUCCC
rnacentral:lncRNA from 10 species